GACGAACGCUGGCGGCGUGCCUAAUACAUGCAAGUCGAGCGAAUGGAUGGGAGCUUGCUCCCUGAAGUUAGCGGCGGACGGGUGAGUAACACGUGGGCAACCUGCCUGUAAGACUGGGAUAACUUCGGGAAACCGGAGCUAAUACCGGAUACAUUCUUUCUUCGCCUGAAGAAAGAUGGAAAGAUGGUUUCGGCUAUCACUUACAGAUGGGCCCGCGGCGCAUUAGCUAGUUGGUGAGGUAACGGCUCACCAAGGCAACGAUGCGUAGCCGACCUGAGAGGGUGGUCGGCCACACUGGGACUGAGACACGGCCCAGACUCCUACGGGAGGCAGCAGUAGGGAAUCGUCCGCAAUGGACGAAAGUCUGACGGAGCAACGCCGCGUGAGCGAAGAAGGCCUUCGGGUCGUAAAGCUCUGUUGCUAGGGAAGAACAAGUACCAGAGUAACUGCUGGUACCUUGACGGUACCUAACCAGAAAGCCACGGCUAACUACGUGCCAGCCGCCGCUGUAAAAC
rnacentral:rRNA from 1 species